rnacentral:ncRNA from 1 species
UUCUCUGCGAAAUCUAUUUAGGUAGAGCGUCAUCCGAAUACCCCGGGGGGUAGAGCACUGGAUGGGUAAUGGGGCCCCACAGGCUUACUGAUCCUAACCAAACUCCGAAUACCCGGGAGUACUAGAUGGCAGACACACUGCGGAUGCUAACGUCCGUAGUGGAGAGGGAAACAACCCUGACCUACAGCUAAGGCCCCCAAUUCAUGGCUAAGUGGGAAAGCAGGUGGGACGACCAAAACAACCAGGAGGUUGGCUUAGAAGCAGCCAUCCUUUAAAGAUAGCGUAACAGCUCACUGGUCUAAAUAAGUUGUCCUGCGGCGAAGAUGUAACGGGGCUCAAGCCAUGAGCCGAAGCUUAGGAUGCCGUAAGGCAUGGUAGCAGAGCGUAGUGUGACAUAAGACUUAUCCUCUUUAGUGUCCUUCGGGGCACCUUGGAGGAUCGAGUCUUUUCGAUGAAGCCGGCGCGUGAGCGAUCCGGUGGAGAGAUCACUAGUGAGAAUGAUGACAUGAGUAGCGACAAAGAGUGUGAGAGACACUCUCGCCGAAAGUCCAAGGGUUCCUGCUUAAAGCUAAUCUGAGCAGGGUAAGCCGGCCCCUAAGCCGAGGCCGAAAGGCGUAGGCGAUGGGAACUAGGUUAAUAUUCCUAGGCCGUGGAGUGGUGACGGAUCUCAGAGGUAGUUCAUCCUUAUCGGAUUGAAUGGGCUGCUGAGAGGUUCCUGGAAAUAGCCCUCCUAUAAGACCGUACCCUAAACCGACACAGGUGGACUGGUAGAGCAUACCAAGGCGCUUGAGAGAACGAUGUUGAAGGAACUCGGCAAAAUACCUCCGUAAGUUCGCGAGAAGGAGGCCCGGUUCCUAGGCAACUAGGGGCUGGGGGCACAAACCAGGGGGUGGCGACUGUUUAUUAAAAACACAGGGCUCUGCGAAGUCGCAAGACGACGUAUAGGGUCUGACGCCUGCCCGGUGCCUGAAGGUUAAAAGGAGAGGUGAGAGCCUUGAAUUGAAGCCCAGGUAAACGGCGGCCGUAACUAUAACGGUCCUAAGGUAGCGAAAUUCCUUGUCGGGUAAGUUCCGACCUGCACGAAUGGCGUAACGACUUCCCCGCUGUCUCCAACAUCGACUCAGCGAAAUUGAAUUGCCUGUCAAGAUGCAGGCUUCCCGCGGUUAGACGGAAAGACCCCGUGCACCUUUACUACAGCUUCGCACUGGCAUCAGGAUUGUGAUGUGCAGGAUAGGUGGUGGGCUUUGAAGCAGAGACGCAAGUCUUUGUGGAGCCUCCCUUGAGAUACCACCCUUCGCACUCUUGAUGUCUAACCGCGGUCCGUUAUCCGGAUCCGGGACCCUGCGUGGCGGGUAGUUUGACUGGGGCGGUCGCCUCCUAAAGCGUAACGGAGGCGCGCGAAGGUUGGCUCAGAGCGGUCGGAAAUCGCUCGUUGAGUGCAAUGGCAGAAGCCAGCCUGACUGCGAGACUGACAAGUCGAGCAGAGUCGAAAGACGGCCAUAGUGAUCCGGUGGUCCCGAGUGGAAGGGCCAUCGCUCAACGGAUAAAAGGUACGCCGGGGAUAACAGGCUGAUACUGCCCAAGAGUCCAUAUCGACGGCAGUGUUUGGCACCUCGAUGUCGGCUCAUCUCAUCCUGGGGCUGGAGCAGGUCCCAAGGGUACGGCUGUUCGCCGUUUAAAGAGGUACGUGAGCUGGGUUUAGAACGUCGUGAGACAGUUCGGUCCCUAUCUGCCGUGGGUGUAGGAGACUUGAGAGGAGUUGCCCCUAGUACGAGAGGACCGGGGUGAACGAUCCACUGGUGGACCAGUUGUCGUGCCAACGGCAGUGCUGGGUAGCUAUGAUCGGACAGGAUAACCGCUGAAGGCAUCUAAGCGGGAAGCCCCCCUCAAAACAAGGUCUCCCUGAGGGCCGUGGAAGACCACCACGUCAAUAGGCCGGAGAUGUAAGCGCAGUAAUGCGUUCAGUUGACCGGUACUAAUCGCCCGAUAGGCUUGAUUUG